AGAGUUUGAUCCUGGCUCAGAUUGAACGCUGGCGGCAUGCUUUACACAUGCAAGUCGAACGGUAACAGGUCUUCGGAUGCUGACGAGUGGCGAACGGGUGAGUAAUGUAUCGGAACGUGCCCAGUAGUGGGGGAUAACUACUCGAAAGAGUGGCUAAUACCGCAUGAGAACUGAGGUUGAAAGUGGGGGACCGCAAGGCCUCACGCUACUGGAACGGCCGAUAUCAGAUUAGGUAGUUGGUGGGGUAAAGGCCUACCAAGCCUGCGAUCUGUAGCUGGUCUGAGAGGACGACCAGCCACACUGGGACUGAGACACGGUCCAGACUCCUACGGGAGGCAGCAGUGGGGAAUAUUGCACAAUGGGCGCAAGCCUGAUGCAGCAACGCCGCGUGAGUGAUGAAGGCCUUCGGGUCGUAAAACUCUGUCCUAAGAGAAGAUAAUGACGGUACCUUAGAAGGAAGCCCCGGCUAACUACGUGCCAGCAGCCGCGGUAAUACGUAGGGGGCAAGCGUUAUCCGGAAUUACUGGGCGUAAAGGGUGCGUAGGUGGCUGACAAGUCAGGGGUCAAAGGCAACGGCUCAACCGUUGUAAGCCCUUGAAACUGUCGGGCUUGAGUUCAGGAGAGGAAAGCGGAAUUCCUAGUGUAGCGGUGAAAUGCGUAGAUAUAUGGAGGAACACCAGUGGCGAAGGCGACUCUCUGGUCUGUAACUGACGCUGAGGCUCGAAAGCGUGGGGAGCAAACAGGAUUAGAUACCCUGGUAGUCCACGCCGUAACGAUGAGUGCUAGUGUUGGAGGGUUUCCACCCUUCAGUGCUGCAGCUAACGCGUUAAGCACUCCGCCUGGGGAGUACGGCCGCAAGGCUGAACUCAAGGAAUUGACGGGGGCCGCACAGCGGUGGAGUAUGUGGUUUAAUUCGACGCACGCGAGACUUACCAGGACUGACAUUGAGUGAAAGGCUAGAGAUAGGUCCCUCCCUUCGGGGACACAAAAACAGGUGGUGCAUGGCUGUCGUCAGCUCCUGUCGUGAGAUGUUGGGUUAAGUCCAUCAACGAGCGCAACCCUUGUGAAUAGUUGUAUUUUUCUAUUCAGACUGCCCCGGUAACGGGGAGGAAGGAGGGGAUGAUGUCAGGUCAGUAUUUCCCUUACACCCUGGGCCAGAAACGCGCUACAAUGGCUGGUACAAUGCGCAGCGAAGUCGCGAGAUGGAGCAAAUCGCACCAAAACCAGUCCCAGUUCGGAUUGCAGGCUGAAACUCGCCUGCAUGAAGUCGGAAUCGCUAGUAAUCGCAGAUCAGCAUGCUGCGGUGAAUACGUUCCCGGGUCUUGUACACACCGCCCGUCAAACCAUGAAAGUCACCAACACCCGAAGUCCGAUUCGUCGGCCUAAGGUGGGGGGGAUGAUUGGGGUUAAGUCGUAACAAGGUAACC
rnacentral:rRNA from 1 species